AUAAAAAACUGCCUGUUCUGGGUGGUAUGGUUUUUCCCACAGUGCAGAUCCUUCUGGUUGGGCAUAGUGUAGGAGGUGAUGUGAUAUCUAUGUGUGUAAUUUUUGUAUGUUAUGUGCUCAGGAGUUUGUUAUCUGUGAGGAUUGCUGAAAUAAUUACUGAAUCUCAGGUUGUUGCUUUUACUUUCAGCCUGUCAGCAGAGGCCUUGGCUAAAUUACAGUCUUGCUUGUCCGAAGUGCUGGGCAUUAUUCUGUUAUCCAGAGUUCCCUUUCUCUAUGUUGAGGAAGGAUACAAGAGAAAUGUAUUUUCUGUGUGUUCAGCUGAAGUGGAGUGGCAUUUACACUGAGAACGUUGCUCCAAUCUGAGAGCCAGUGCUGGCACCCACACAAUGCACCUCUGCUGCCUACCUUGGAAGCGCUCGGCCCUUCAGUCCAUGAUUCAGCUGGAGCCAAAGAGUCCACAUAUCAAGCAUGGAUGCUACUCCUGAAGCAGGCAGGCUUCGAGAGAUCAGCGUCCUCAUCAUUUCAUUGGUACCUUCUAGAAUUUGGUGGACCCUGGAGUCCCGCAUGAACAGCAUAAUAUUUCAGGUGUCCAUAGCCUCUGUGCAUUUGUACAGCCUGGUUGCAGAUAGUGAAACACUCCUCAGCAAAGAACUUGGCCAUGGAGCAUAGCACCACCGCAUCUUCCCGCUCUUCUUGCAGAGCCACUGCUGCAGUAUCUAUGGAUCCACCUUGAAGCCACCAGCUUUGUUGCCCUAUCUGCCAAAUGGAAUUGCAAGUACUGGCUCCUGCCCAAAGUUGCUCCAAACUGCUUCUGGACAUUGAGAUGGUCUCGGGUGAGGAUGACUGAAGUAUGAGCAGCCCCCAGGGAACAGGAAGCAACAUUGAUCCGCCUUCCAUUUCUGUUGGCCACAGGUUGGCUGGGAGUUCCAUCACACCUUUUUCUCCUUCUUGCCAAAGCUGAGGCCAGGGGUCCCCUUCUCAACCAAUAUGCAGGAGAUGCCUUUGGGUCUGGUCCUCCAGUUUGGCACAUGCCCACAUAGAUGUCUGAUUCUCCACCCCCACUGAUGAAGGCCUUGAAACUGUUGACCAUUGAGGAUGUAAUGAUCUCCUUGUAGUUUAGUGGAGGUCAAAAGAGAUGCAUAUUCACUCUCACUUCCUGGUUCAGUGAUGCAGUAAGAGGCAAACUUCUCCGUAGUACAAAGUGUUGGGCAAAAUUUGUGCCUCUGUUUCUCAGUUCCAAAGCAAUCAAUUAUCCAGGCACACAUGUUAUGGAUGCUUAUGUAGGCUGUGGUAAUGGUACAGCCUGUAGCCAAGUCUUCAAAGAUGACAGGUAUCAAGCCAUGAUAGUCCAGACCCACCAACAUCCGUUUGAAUGUAGACUCUCCCAAAGCCUAGCCAGGCUGCCUUUUGCAUCAUUGCCGUAGAGAACAGUACCUUCUUGUUCCACUCUACCAUAUUUGGAGCUACCUUCUGGGCAGCAAAGUCAAAAGCUACUUUUUUGGAAACUCCGUUCCUCAUUUAGUCUCAUGGAAAGGUUGAUGGCAGGUGGACUAGCGCUGCCCAGACACUGCUGCACAAGCAGCCGAAGUGUACCCCAAGGUGCCUUUUGCUGCACCACAUUGCCGCGGUUCUGUACAGCCCAGCCCGCACAUCCUGGCAAGGCCAGCACCACAUGCCACAGCACCCUGUCCCAAGGCACACUGGGAGCCGGCUCUCCCCAAGGCCCUGGGCCGGGGUGCUGGCUGCAGGGUGCAGAGACUACUGAUUUUUCUUUGUGCUAUUUUUACAGUAUCUAGACACCUAGACUGGGGUUAAAGCCAUGUUGUGAACACCUAUUCCUUUUCACUGCUGGCUCCCACCAGCUCACUAGAUAAUGGAUAUUACUGUGAAUCUCCCAAGUCCUAAUUUGAUUUGUGUGAGCCCCUGGUAAGUGUGGGCUUAGAAUGUUUCCAGAUAAAUGAACCUGACUGCACAUAAUAUCAGCCACUGAACUGGAAUGCUUAAUGUCUAGUUUGGACCAAUAGCUUUUUUCUUUGAGUAUCUGCUUCCAUCUGCUUGUCACAGUAGUAUGUGAUGAGGUCACUUACUGGAUAAGUCAUUUCCAUCCUUGCUGCCAUCUCUGUAUUAGUCACUGUUCUCUACUCUCC
ensembl:lincRNA